UACGAAGGGGGCUAGCGUUGCUCGGAAUCACUGGGCGUAAAGCGCACGUAGGCGGCUUAUUAAGUCAGGGGUGAAAUCCUGGAGCUCAACUCCAGAACUGCCUUUGAUACUGAUGAGCUUGAGUUCGGGAGAGGUGAGUGGAACUGCGAGUGUAGAGGUGAAAUUCGUAGAUAUUCGCAAGAACACCAGUGGCGAAGGCGGCUCACUGGCCCGAUACUGACGCUGAGGUACGAAAGCGUGGGGAGCAAACAGG
rnacentral:rRNA from 1 species